GACGAACGCUGGCGGCGUGCUUAACACAUGCAAGUCGAACGGAAAGGCCCUGCUUUUGUGGGGUGCUCGAGUGGCGAACGGGUGAGUAACACGUGAGUAACCUGCCCUUGACUUUGGGAUAACUUCAGGAAACUGGGGCUAAUACCGGAUAGGAGCUCCUGCUGCAUGGUGGGGGUUGGAAAGUUUCGGCGGUUGGGGAUGGACUCGCGGCUUAUCAGCUUGUUGGUGGGGUAGUGGCUUACCAAGGCUUUGACGGGUAGCCGGCCUGAGAGGGUGACCGGCCACAUUGGGACUGAGAUACGGACCAGACUCCUACGGGAGGCAGCAGUGGGGAAUAUUGCACAAUGGGCGGAAGCCUGAUGCAGCAACGCCGCGUGCGGGAUGACGUCCUUCGGGUUGUAAACCGCUUUCGCCGGUGACGAAGCGUGAGUGACGGUAAUGGGUAAAGAAGCACCGGCUAACUACGUG
rnacentral:rRNA from 1 species